AUGGCGUCUGCGUGCCAUUCCUCCGCCUCUACCUCGCCGACCUCGCCGCCUCGGUCGCCGUCGCAUCCGCCACCGACCAGAGGAACGACACCUGCGGCGAACCUGGGUGAGUCCAUCUUCGACAGUAGGUGGUCCCCUCCUCGCUGGUGGAGAUCGCCCCCAUCCUUCGCGUCGCAAACGAGGUGGAGGCCAGCAACCCACGAGUCGCAUACCUAUGUAAGCAACCCCCUUCUUCGCACAUUCAUCCUCUGCCUGUUAAUUAUUACUGUUACCAAGCACAACAGAGCACAUUCAUCCUCUGCCAUUCCUCCGCCUCUACCUCGCCGACCUCGCCGCCUCGGUCGCCGUCGCAUCCGCCACCGACCAGAGGAACGACACCUGCGGCGAACCUGGGUGAGUCCAUCUUCGACAGUAGGUGGUCCCCUCCUCGCUGGUGGAGAUCGCCCCCAUCCUUCGCGUCGCAAACGAGAUGGAGGCCAGCAACCCACGAGUCGCAUACCUAUGUCGGUUCUACGCCUUCGAGAAGGCCCAUCGCCUCGACCACACCUCCAGCGUCGCUGGAGUUCACCUUGUCGGCCGACGACUAAAGGCUCAUGGAGGAGGUCUGCUUCGGCGCCAACGCUGUCGUGUACCGCGCCAUCUUCCUCCCGGCCAACCGGACCAUCGUCGUCAAGUGCCUUGAUCUUGAUUGACUCAACAGUAACCUGCCGCUGGCCUUGUCCUCCUCGAGGAGGAGGAGCGGGAGGGGCGCACCCAGCCACCACGGUCGCCGUCGUUAAGUGCUUCUUCCACCUGGAGCUCGAAAUCCACGACGUCGUCGUCCAGCCACCCAAGGUGAAGGUGACCCCAACUACCCUCCGUCCAGCCCGAAACGGAAUCACAUGGUGGGAGCGGAAACAGAAUUGUUGGGUGGUUGGUUGGUAUCUAUACUUUGGUUAA
rnacentral:rRNA from 1 species